AGGCCCGGUGUUCCUCAAACUCAACAUAACCUGUGGUGCUGUCGGUCUUGGGUUGUCAAUUUGUCAUCCUUCCAGGACCUUCCUUGAGCUCACCACUCAUUUCGGAUUCGGAAUGUCACGUAUCAUUUUGUGAUUAUUACUAACACGUGGUUACUACCUAGGUAUGUGUUUCGCGUUGGAUGUCAUGCAGAAUCAUUAUGGCCUCCAAAUCUUUGGUGAAGACGAGCGCAAUGUUGGACUUGAAGAAAAUGAAAGUGGACGACUUGACCAAACUGUGGACGAUUCUCUUCUAGUUCCCUUUAUCCUCUUACAAGAUAGAUCCCAACUAAUUGAUCAAUUGGAUGGUCCCCAAGGCCAAUCAAUGAAGUUUGGUAGCUUAAUAGCAUGAUAAGCAAACGCAUAUACUAAGUUACUUUAGAUUAAGGUAGCCAUGUUCCAGUAUAAAUUGACGCUCAUGCGAGCUGCUGGUAGCAUGACUGAGUAAAGGUUUAGAGGAAUUUUACUUUUAUUUCCAUGGGUCGUUGUGAGCUUAAAGGCAGAUCAAAGACAUAUUUAUAAGGAUAUAUUUUCUUUGAAGAGGUACCCUUCUUCAACAUUACCCAAAGCGUCAAACAAUUCUAAAACAUUUGGUAACGGAGCAGAAACCAGGAAUUAUAAAAAAUAUUGCGGUUAUAUAUUUAAUUUUUAAAUUAUAUAAUCAUUAAUUGUAAUAAAUAUUGUUGGUUUGGAGAGGAAUGAUAAAAUACCGGACAUUUUUUAUGAAAAUUUCUAUCGUAAAUUUUAAACUCAAUUUUUUAUGAAGUUGUGCUGGUGCUGCGUUCAACCUCUAGUGUUCGGUAUCACUUUUACAAAUGCCUUAUUGUGUAUACACUUUGGACGGGUGUGUAGGGGUAGAUCAUACUUCUUCCUCCCUGCUAAAUCUUAAGUAAAUCUUUAUUGUACAGGAAUCUGUCAGGAGAAAGUUGUUUACACAGAAUCGUUAUGCAGUCUCAUCCCUUAUAUAACCAUGUUAUCGGUGAUAAGUUUGUAACUAUGCUCAUUUUGAAGGCUGCCGCGUUAAUUCCUGUGAUAUUUUUAGUCAUUAAACUAAAGAGCCACGAGCUAUAACGCAUUCGAUAUACCUACCUAAUAACUUACAACCAAAAGAAUUACAUACUGAUUAGUGUAUAUAUCUGCCCUCGCCAGGAUUCGAAUCUGGACGUGCAGUGAUAUACGAGAGACUCGACCAUUUGUAUAUCAUAAGAUAUUAAGUUUAUAUCAACUUUGCCGUACAUAUUUAUGUGGAAUUAAGUUUAUAUCUCUAGAUUUACCCAGCAUUGUGCUGACACGGUCUCUUGCUUUUCACCAGUCCAUAAGGAUUUCGGGUGCUGUAAUACUUUGAACUGCUAUCACAUAUGCUAGCUGACUGGUAAGUUCGUAACACUUGGCUGUUUUGAAGCUUUGUUACUUAAAUACGUGUGCCUUUUAUGCUAAAAAAUAUUAAGCCCUAAGCAGCAAUAUCGAAUUCACCAUACCUGGAUGAUGCAUUACACCCAAGGGGACUUUUGAUGAGUGUUUUUGAUUUGAGCGUUAUUGUUGUAAUGACAAGUUGGUGGAUUCUUCCCACAUCUGCGUCUCUCUAGUUUCAAAAAUUCCUCAGUGUUCUUUCCCCCUCUCGAGUAAUGCCUUUCUGAGUGUCACUUGAAGAUGUCAGAGUGAAUUAAUGAAUGCCGUUUUGAUGAAAAAAAAAAUAAAUAAA